UUAGAGUUUGAUUGUGGCUCAGGAUGUAAUGCUGGCGGCGUGCCUAACACAUGCAAGUCGAGCGAGAAACCUGCAAUUGAAACUUCGGUAGAUUUUGCGGGCGGAAAGCGGCGGACGGGUGAGUAACGCGUAGGCAACCUGCCCUUUGCAGAGGGAUAGCAACGGGAAACUGUUAUUAAAACCUCAUAAUACCGACAUGUCAAAUGACAAGACGGUCAAAGAUUUAUCGGCAAAGGAUGGGCCUGCGUCUGAUUAGUUAGUUGGUAGGGUAACGGCCUACCAAGGCAGCGAUCAGUAGCCGACCUGAGAGGGUGAUCGGCCACAUUGGAACUGAGACACGGUCCAAACUCCUACGGGAGGCAGCAGUGGGGAAUAUUGCACAAUGGGCGAAAGCCUGAUGCAGCAACGCCGCGUGAAGGAUGAAGGCCUUUGGGUCGUAAACUUCUGUCCUUGGGGAAGAAAAAAAUGACGGUACCCCUGGAGGAAGUCCCGGCUAACUACGUGCCAGCAGCCGCGGUAAUACGUAGGGGGCGAGCGUUAUCCGGAAUUAUUGGGCGUAAAGAGUACGUAGGUGGUUUUUUAAGCGCAGGGUUUAAGGCGAUGGCUCAACUGUCGUUCGCCCUGUGAACUGGAAGACUUGAGUACAGGAGAGGAAAGCGGAAUUCCUAGUGUAGCGGUGAAAUGCAUAGAUAUUAGGAGGAACACCAGUGGCGAAGGCGGCUUUCUGGACUGUAACUGACACUGAGGUACGAAAGCGUGGGGAGCAAACAGGAUUAGAUACCCUGGUAGUCCACGCUGUAAACGAUGAGCACUAGGUGUCGGGGUCGCAAGAUCUCGGUGCCGCAGUUAACGCAUUAAGUGCUCCGCCUGGGGAGUACGCACGCAAGUGUGAAACUCAAAGGAAUUGACGGGGACCCGCACAAGCAGCGGAGCAUGUGGUUUAAUUCGAAGCAACGCGAAGAACCUUACCAGAACUUGACAUCCUCCUGACAGGCCUUUAAUCGGGCCCUUCUUCGGACAGGAGAGACAGGUGGUGCAUGGUUGUCGUCAGCUCGUGUCGUGAGAUGUUGGGUUAAGUCCCGCAACGAGCGCAACCCUUGUCAUUAGUUGCUAACAUUAAGUUGAGGACUCUAAUGAGACUGCCGGGGACAACUCGGAGGAAGGUGGGGAUGACGUCAAAUCAUCAUGCCCCUUGUGUUCUGGGCUACACACGUGCUACAAUGGCCGGUACAACGAGAAGCGAAGUCGCAAGGCGGAGCAAACCUCAAAAACCGGUCCCAGUUCGGAUUGCAGGCUGAAACCCGCCUGCAUGAAGCCGGAGUUGCUAGUAAUCGCGAAUCAGAAUGUCGCGGUGAAUGCGUUCCCGGGUCUUGUACACACCGCCCGUCACACCAUGGAAGUUGGGGGCGCCCGAAGUUGGUCAGAUAAUAGAUUACCUAAGGCGAAAUCAAUGACUGGGGUGAAGUCGUAACAAGGUAGCCGUAGGAGAACCUGCGGCUGGAUCACCUCCUUU
rnacentral:rRNA from 1 species